rnacentral:tRNA from 1 species
GCCCUUGAAUCGAGUCUGCAAACCUCAAGAAGUAGAGUAAAUUCUACCGGGGGCU